AAGGUAGCAUAAUCAUUUGUUCUCUAAAUAAGGACUUGUAUGAAUGGCCACACGAGGGUUUAACUGUCUCUUACUCCCAAUCAGUGAAAUUGACCUUCCCGUGAAGAGGCGGGAAUGCCACAAUAAGACGAGAAGACCCUAUGGAGA
rnacentral:rRNA from 1 species